rnacentral:lncRNA from 1 species
UAUCAGUCUGAGCAACAGUGGCUACUUGUGGAGACGUCCGCUUACUUGCUCGAUAUUAAGGAACUCAUUAUACUCCAUUUCAGAUACAGAAAAUUACUGGUUACCUUUAGUCUCGGUCUGAGCAACAUAAUCAUUUUUUAGUGGUCGACCAUGUAAAGAAUGGCAUACGUCACGAGUGUGACCAAGUUUAUAACAAUAAAAACACUUGGGUCUAGAUCUUCCAAAACGA